AUUCACCACUGAUAGUUGACAUAAUUAGUAUUAUCUCACAGUCAUUGCAGGGUGACUGGUACAAGAAAUGAGGCCAACAAUCACGUGACUUGAUAGCAUGGUGCUAAGAGUGCACGUGUCGAGAAGUCGAGCUCAGUGUAUUGCACAAGAAGACAGCCACAGUCCAAUGAAGAAAUAAAAAGACAAAGAUGCGAGACAAUAACACACAAUGUAGGUAAGGGCUUGAAAACCUGGAAAGUUGUUUUUGAGUUUAUUUCUUGACCAACUUUUGAAAAGUUUUUGUUUUGCUUGCUCAUCUACUCCUUGAUUACAUUAUUUCAACUCAUUGAAAUUAAACAGAAAAAGCAUAAACUGUUUCGAUGGAAUGAUGCAGUUUACACAGAUGGAGAUAAACGAGGACAUGGUGUUAACUAAGUUAUCAAAAUUAGGACAUGCAUCUAAAAAGACAUCCCAGUUGGUUCACUCAAAACACCCUUGUAACCUCGCAACACUAUCCUCGGUCCAGAAUUUGCUGGAAUGUUUUGUUCGGCUCACCCGUCUGAACACAGGUUUAUAAACGGGUACAAGAUACACACUUAGAUGAUAUGACGCACCUGGGCAGGGGUAGACACCUGUGAGCUCGUGGCACAGUUCCGCAGACGAGAUCAAGUGUGGUCUGACCCCGAGCCCUGUUUCAGUAAAUGCCAACAAACUUCUCUAUGUAGUCGAAAGUUGUGUACCCACGCCUCAAGCUCAUCAGUCUUGCGUCUAAUCGACUGUACAUUAGAUAACAGGACAGAUGGAAGAGGUGGAUUCUUGUGUCGAUCGUCCAGGAAAAUUUCUUGUCUCCGCUUCACGCCGCCUGCGACAUCGUUGAUUGAGCUUUUUCAAAGCCACCAGGAAUUGUGGGACCCUUGGAAAGAAAAAUACCGUAACAGACCAUUGAAAACGGGUCUGUGGCUUUCUUUACAGGUUUUGUUCUCGAAAAUGACAGGGAUCGACUGCACAGUUGACAAUAUCCAAGCAAAGGUAGCCAGCCUCCAAAACACAUUUUCAAGGGAAAUGUGUAAAAUAAAUAAAUAAAACCAAAGUGGGGCUGGAGCAUAUGUGAUGUCUACAACAGUUCAUGGCCCUUUACCAGCAGUUGAAAUUCCUGUUGCCAGUAAUGUCUCUAGUGGCACCAACAUCUUCAAACUUGGAAACACAAGUGGUGAAUCACCAACAGCAAGGCGAAGACGAUUAUUUCUACCAGUGCCAGAUAGAAAAGGAAUUCACUGAAACUCAGUCUGAAGGGGUGAAAGAGGAUGACCCAGCACUUUCACUCACUUCAAGCCCUUGCGGGUCAAGAAGUGACUACUCAGAUGCAGGCAAAAGGCAAGAAAAAAGAUCAGGGAGAUGAUCUGACUAAGUGCAUCAAAGAUCAUUACAGAAAUAAACAUAGACCAAAAGAGGGCCCUGAACUCAUGUGGGCAAAAAAUCUUACUAAAAAAAAUUCAGAACUACCAGAUAUUACACAAAGGAAGCUUAUAAAACUAGAUAUUGACGACCUAGCAAAGAAUGACUAGGACCUCUACACUUAAAGGAAUUAAUUUUUUUUCUCUAGGUGCUUAUGCGUCUAUGACCUUGACUGA